rnacentral:rRNA from 1 species
GACGAACGCUGGCGGCGUGCUUAACACAUGCAAGUCGAACGGAAAGGCCCUGCUUUUGUGGGGUGCUCGAGUGGCGAACGGGUGAGUAACACGUGAGUAACCUGCCCUUGACUUUGGGAUAACUUCAGGAAACUGGGGCUAAUACCGGAUAGGAGCUCCUGCUGCAUGGUGGGGGUUGGAAAGUUUCGGCGGUUGGGGAUGGACUCGCGGCUUAUCAGCUUGUUGGUGGGGUAGUGGCUUACCAAGGCUUUUACUGGUAGCCGGCCUGAGAGGGUGACCGGCCACAUUGGGACUGAGAUACGGCCCAGACUCCUACGGGAGGCAGCAGUGGGGAAUAUUGCACAAUGGGCGGAAGCCUGAUGCAGCAACGCCGCGUGCGGGAUGACGGCCUUCGGGUUGUAAACCGCUUUCGCCUGUGACGAAGCGUGAGUGACGGUAACGGGUAAAGAAGCACCGGCUAACUACGUG